rnacentral:misc_RNA from 1 species
AGUUUUUGUUGGGGAAAGUGGUGAUACCGAUUACGAAGGAUUACUUGGGGGCGUUCACAAAACCAUAAUUAUGAAGGGUGCAUGCAACACUGUGAGUGAGCAGAAUCGUGCCGCAAAAAGUUAUUCUCUUGAAGAUGUCGUAGCUUUUGACAGUCCGAAUAUCCUUCGGACAGAAGGCUAUGCUGUUGCUGACGUACAGUCAGCACUUACCCAGCUAGG